CCCUUAGAUGUUCUGGGCCGCACGCGCGCUACACUGAUGCAUUCAACGAGCCUAUCCUUGACCGACAGGUCCGGGUAAUCUUUGAAUCUGCAUCGUGACGGGGAUAGAUUAUUGCAAUUAUUAAUCUUCAACGAGGAAUGCCUCGUAGGCGCAAGUCAUCAGCUUGCGUCGAUUACGUCCCUGCCCUUUGUACACACCGCCCGUCGCUCCUACCGAUUGGGUGUGCUGGUGAAAUGUUCGGAUCGGCCGUUUGUCGCGGUUUCCGCGGCUCGUGGCUGAGAAGUUCAUUAAACCCUCCCACCUAGAGGAAGGAGAAGUCGUAACA
rnacentral:rRNA from 1 species